rnacentral:rRNA from 1 species
NNAGUCGGGGAAGUGAAACAUCUCAGUACCCGUAGGAAGAGAAAACAAGAGUGAUUCCGUGAGUAGUGGUGAGCGAAAGCGGAUGAGGCCAAACCGUAUGCGUGUGAUAGCCGGCGGGCGUUGCGUAUGCGGGGUUGUGGGACCCUCUGGGGAGAUCUGCCGGUCUCCCAGGCAGUAAGAAAUCAGCGUGGUAGUCGAAGCUUUUGGGAAAUUGCGCCGUAGACCGUGAGAGCCGGGUAGGCGAAACUUCGCUGACUGUUUGAGGGGAUCCCAAGUAGCACGGGGCCCGAGAAAUCCUGUGUGAAUCUGCCAGGACCACCUGGUAAGCCUAAAUACUCCCUGAUGACCGAUAGUGAACUAGUACCGUGAGGGAAAGGUGAAAAGCGCCCCGGUGAGGGGUCGUGAAAUAGUACCUGAAACCGUGUGCUUACAAGCCGUAGGAGCGUAACAGGGCUUGCUCUGUUGUGAUGUGACUGCGUGCCUUUUGAAGAAUGAGCCUGCGAGUUAUGGUGUGUGGCGAGGUUAACCCGUGUGGGGGAGCCGUAGCGAAAGCGAGUCUGAAUAGGGCGUUGAGUCGCAUGCUGUAGACCCGAAGCGGGGUGAUCUACGCAUGGGCAGGUUGAAGCGCGGGUAAGACCGCGUGGAGGACCGAACCCACCAGGGUUGAAAACCUGGGGGAUGAUCUGUGUGUAGGGGUGAAAGGCCAAUCAAACUCCGUGAUAGCUGGUUCUCCCCGAAAUGCAUUUAGGUGCAGCGUCGCGUGUUUCUUGCCGGAGGUAGAGCACUGGAUGGCCGAUGGGCCCGACAAGGUUACUGACGUCAGCCAAACUCCGAAUGCCGGUAAGUGAGAGCGUGGCAGUGAGACUGCGGGCGAUAAGGUUCGUAGUCGAGAGGGAAACAGCCCAGAUCACCGACUAAGGCCCCUAAGCGUGUGCUAAGUGGGAAAGGAUGUGGAGUCGCAGAGACAACCAGGAGGUUGGCUUAGAAGCAGCCACCCUUGAAAGAGUGCGUAAUAGCUCACUGGUCAAGUGAUUCCGCGCCGACAAUGUAGCGGGGCUCAAGUACACCGCCGAAGUCGUGGCAUUCGCGAACGAAGGUUCGUGGAUGGGUAGGGGAGCGUCGUGUCGCCGGCGAAGCAGCCGAGUGAUCGAGUUGUGGAGGCGACGCGAGUGAGAAUGCAGGCAUGAGUAGCGAAUCAGAAGUGAGAAACUUCUGCGCCGGAUGACCAAGGGUUCCUGGGGCAGGCUAAUCCGCCCAGGGUAAGUCGGGGCCUAAGGCGAGGCCGACAGGCGUAGUCGAUGGAUAACGGGUUGAUAUUCCCGUACCCGCUGUGAUGCGCCCAUAUCGAGGCCAGUGAUACUAACAGUCCUUACCUUGUUUGAUUCCUUCGGGUUUCUUUCAAGGGAACGCUGGACCUGAUCUGGUAGUAGGUAAACGAUGGGGUGACGCAGGAAGGUAGCCCAGCCCGGGCGAUGGUAGUCCCGGGGUAAGCAUGUAGGACGGNNNNNNNNNNNNNNNNNNNNNNNNNNNNNNNNNNNNNNNNNNNNNNNNNNNNNNNNNNNNNNNNNNNNNNNNNNNNNNNNNNNNNNNNNNNNNNNNNUAAGUCUGAGGUGUGAUGCCGAGCCGAUUGUGGCGAAGUGGGUGAUCCUAUGCUGCCGAGAAAAGCCUCUAGUGAGUGUCAUGGCGGCCCGUACCCUAAACCGACUCAGGUGGUCAGGUAGAGAAUACUAAGGCGUUCGGGUGAACUGUGGUUAAGGAACUCGGCAAAUUGCCCCCGUAACUUCGGGAGAAGGGGGGCCUCUGCUGGUGAUCGGACUUGCUCCGUGAGCUGGUGGGGGUCGCAGUGGCCAGGGGGAAGCGACUGUUUACUAAAAACACAGGUCCGUGCUAAGUCGUAAGACGAUGUAUACGGACUGACGCCUGCCCGGUGCCGGAACGUUAAGGGGACCGCUUAGCCCAGUAAUGGGCGAAGGUGAGAACUUAAGCGCCGGUAAACGGCGGUGGUAACUAUAACCAUCCUAAGGUAGCGAAAUUCCUUGUCGGGUAAGUUCCGACCUGCACGAAUGGCGUAACGACUUCCCCGCUGUCUCAACCACAGACCCGGUGAAAUUGCACUACGAGUAAAGAUGCUCGUUUCGCGCAGCAGGACGGAAAGACCCCGGGACCUUCACUACAGCUUGACAUUGGUGUUUGGAACGGUUUGUGUAGGAUAGGUGGGAGACUGGGAAGCUUGGACGCUAGUUCAGGUGGAGUCAUUGGUGAAAUACCACUCUGAUCGUUUUGGAUGUCUAACCCGCGCCCGUGGAUCCGGGUGGGGGACAGUGUCUGGUGGGUAGUUUAACUGGGGCGGUUGCCUCCUAAAGAGUAACGGAGGCGCCCAAAGGUUCCCUCAGCCUGGUUGGCAAUCAGGUGUCGAGUGUAAGUGCACAAGGGAGCUUGACUGUGAGACCGACGGGUCGAGCAGGAGCGAAAGCUGGGACUAGUGAUCCGGCACCGACGUGUGGAAGUGGUGUCGCUCAACGGCUAAAAGGUACCCCGGGGAUAACAGGCUGAUCUUCCCCAAGAGUCCAUAUCGACGGGAUGGUUUGGCACCUCGAUGUCGGCUCGUCGCAUCCUGGGGCUGGAGUAGGUCCCAAGGGUUGGGCUGUUCGCCCAUUAAAGCGGUACGCGAGCUGGGUUUAGAACGUCGCGAGACAGUUCGGUCCCUAUCCGCUGCGCGCGCAGGAGACUUGAGAGAGGCUGUCCCUAGUACGAGAGGACCGGGACGGACGAACCUCUGGUGUGCCAGUUGUUCUGCCAAGGGCACGGCUGGUUGGCUACGUUCGGAAGGGAUAACCGCUGAAAGCAUCUAAGCGGGAAGCUCGUCUUGAGAUGAGGUCUCCCACCCAGUGAUGGGGUAAGGCCCCCGGUAGACGACCGGGUUGAUAGGCCGGGAGUGGAAGCACAGUAAUGUGUGGAGCUGACCGGUACUAAUAGGCCGAGGACUUGACCA